rnacentral:tRNA from 1 species
UGGUGCAGUGGUUAAACACUCAGCUGCUAACUGAAAGGUUGGUGGUUCGAAUCCACC